AAAUCUCAACCUUCUCGGUUUCUUCUGGACACCGAAGGAGGCUUGGACUUUGGAGGCCUUUGCUGGUGUCUCUCUCUUCUGAAACCCAGCUCCUCUUAAAUGAAUUAGCGGGGUCCUCUUUGCUGAUCCUCGACGUGUGAUAAGAUGUUUCCAUGUCUUGGUUUCUGGCUCUGUUGCUCCUGGGAUCCGCUUCUAAUCGUCUCAACCUUGCAUCGAGACAAUGUUUGAGCGUGUCUCCCUUCUCGGGAAACGCUCUCAACCCCACGAAC
rnacentral:misc_RNA from 1 species